AGAGUUUGAUCCUGGCUCAGAUUGAACGCUGGCGGCAUGCCUAACACAUGCAAGUCGCACGCGAAAGGGGGCAACCCCGAGUAGAGUGGCGGACGGGUGCGUAAUACGCAGGAAUCUACCCACGAGUGGGGGACAACCCGGGGAAACCCGGGCUAAUACCGCAUGAGACCUACGGGUGAAAGCGGGGGAUCGCAAGACCUCGCGCUGGUGGAUGAGCCUGCGUCCGAUUGGCUAGUUGGUAGGGUAAAAGCCUACCAAGGCAACGAUCGGUAGCUGGUCUGAGAGGACGACCAGCCACACUGGGACUGAGACACGGCCCAGACUCCUACGGGAGGCAGCAGUGGGGAAUAUUGGACAAUGGGGGCAACCCUGAUCCGGCAAUGCCGCGUGUGUGAAGAAGGCCUUCGGGUUGUAAAGCACUUUCGAUGGGGACAAACGUGUCGGGCUUAAUACGUCCGGCCUUGAUGGUACCCAGAGAAGAAGCACCGGCUAACUCUGUGCCAGCAGCCGCGGUAAUACAGAGGGUGCAAGCGUUAAUCGGAAUUACUGGGCGUAAAGCGUGCGUAGGUGGUUGGAUAAGUCAGGUGUGAAAUCCCCGAGCUUAACUUGGGAAUUGCGCUUGAUACUGUCCGGCUAGAGUGUGGUAGAGGGUAGUGGAAUUCCGCAUGUAGCGGUGAAAUGCGUAGAUAUGCGGAGGAACAUCAGUGGCGAAGGCGGCUACCUGGACCAACACUGACACUGAGGCACGAAAGCGUGGGUAGCAAACAGGAUUAGAUACCCUGGUAGUCC
rnacentral:rRNA from 1 species